AGAGGUGGCGAGCGUUGUUCGGAUUACUGGGCGUAAAGCGUGCGUAGGUGGUUCGUGUGUCGGAUGUGAAAGCCCACCGCCCAACGGUGGAACUGCAUUCGAAACUGCGGAGCUGGAGUGCAGGAUGGGAGAGCGGAAUUCUUGGUGUAGCGGUGAAAUGCGUUGAUAUCAAGAAGAACACCGGUGGCGAAGGCGGCUCUCUGGAAUGCUACUGACACUGAGGCACGAAAGCUGGGGGGAGCAAACAGGAUUAGAUACCCUGGUAGUCCCAGCCGUAAACGGUGUGCACUUGGUGUAGGGGGUAUUGACCCCCCCUGUGCCGGAGCUAACGCGUUAAGUGCACCGCCUGGGGAGUACGGCCGCAAGGCUA
rnacentral:rRNA from 1 species